CAGUAGCCACGGGAAUACGAAGGGUGCAAGCGUUACUCGGAAUUACUGGGCGUAAAGCGUGCGUAGGUGGUGGUUUAAGUCCGUUGUGAAAGCCCUGGGCUCAACCUGGGAAUUGCAGUGGAUACUGGGUCACUAGAGUGUGGUAGAGGAUAGUGGAAUUUCCGGUGUAGCAGUGAAAUGCGUAGAGAUCGGAAGGAACAUCUGUGGCGAAGGCGACUAUCUGGGCCAACACUGACGCUGAUGGACGAAAGCGUGGGGAGCGAACAGGAUUAGAUACCCCCGUAGUCCCUGUCUCUUAUAC
rnacentral:rRNA from 1 species